GCCUCUGUAGCUCAGUUGGUUAGAGCGCUGCACCGGAAUCGCAGGGCCGUAGGUUCAAUUCCUACCAUAGCCU
rnacentral:tRNA from 1 species